AUCUUGUCCUAAUACCAACAAUUAUUUAAUUAAAUAUUUAAAUUACUCAAAUUAUUUACCCAUACGAGAAAAAUUUACAUCCAGGUUAUUAAUUAAUAAUCAAGUAAUGAAAUUUUUGUGUUAAUUGGAUAAUUAUAAACAUAUUUCAACAUUAUGUUUCUAUUAUAUGACUUGCCACUCAGAGAAAACUUACAAUAAAUCACUUAAAUGUCAGUACUGUGUCAUGUCCGUUCCUAGAAUUCACCUAUAAAUUGUUAAUUUUUUUUGUCAUAAUAAAUGAUUUAAACUAAUUACUUCAUAAAUUCUAAUGUUUAUGAUCAAACUGAAAAAAAAUUGACACACUUUCUGUUUAAUGUAUUAAGUUAACAUUGAAUUCCGGUUCAAUAACUUUUGUCUUUAAAUUUUAACGAAUUUUUGAAUUUGAAUUUGUGUGACUCGAACGCCAUGUUCCUUGAGAUUUAUGAAACGUCUAGUGAACUAUCUUGAAAGUACGUCACCUGAGUAAUAUUUACAAACACUGAGUUGAUGACAAAAGGCCAAGAGUUCGUGCCAUGUUUAAACUUAAUUUUUAAAAAGAAUACUAAAUUCUUGUACUUAAUACCAGUCUGAACUUUACAGUCAAUGGAUAUUAUCAAAUACAUAACCAAAUAAUUACAGUUGUUAUUUAAAAUGAAACUGUGGUACCAAUACUUUGUGCUAAAAAGCUACCUGAUACAAGUGACAAUUAAUUUAUUCAAUGUUUAUUAAUUUAUUUAUUUUUUAGUAAAUUCUAUAAAUUAAAUUAUAGUUGUUAUAAAUUAUAAAGUUAAUCGUUAUUAAUCAUCAUUAAUGUGUUAGAUAAUUAUUGAAAAAAGAGU